CAGCAGCCACGGGAAUACGUAGGUGGCAAGCGUUGUCCGGAAUUAUUGGGCGUAAAGGGCUCGCAGGCGGUUUCUUAAAUCUGAUGUGAGAGCCCCCGGCUCAACCGGGGAGGGUCAUUGGAAACUGGGAAACUUGAGUGCAGAAGAGGAGAGUGGAAUUCCACGUGUAGCGGUGAAAUGCGUAGAGAUGUGGUGGGACACCAGUGGCGAAGGCGACUCUCUGGUCAGUAACUGACGCUGAGGAGCGAAAGCGUGGGGAGCGAACAGGAUUAGAUACCCGCGUAGUCCCUGUCUCUUAUAU
rnacentral:rRNA from 1 species